UUCCGGUUGAUCCUGCCGGAGCCGGCUGUUAUGGGGAUUGUACUAAGUCAUGCAAGUUAACGCAGCGCCUAUGUGCUGCGUGGCGUAAAGCUCAGUAACGCGUAGAUAAUCUACCCUACGGUGGUGGAUAACCUCGGCAAACUGAGGCUAAACCACCAUAGCCGCCCUAUGUUGGAAUACUUGGGCGGUCAAAGGAGUGCAAACAUGGUUGCACACGUCGUAGGACGAGUCUGCGUCGGAUUAGGUCGUAGGUGGGGUAAAGGCCCACCCAGCCGAGGAUCCGUACGGGUCGUUAGCGCGAUAACCCGGAGUUGGACUCUGAGACAAUAGUCCAGGGGCUAUGGCUUGCAGCAGGCGAGAAAACUGUCCAAUGCACGAAAGUGUGAGACGGUGAUCCCCAGUGCUAGGAGCAAUUCUAGCUUUUGUCAAGUGUAAAUAUCUCGGCGAAUAAGGAGAGGGCAAGAACGGUGCCAGCCGCCGCGGUAAAACCGUCUCUUCGAAUGGCCGGCAUGUUUAUUGGGCCUAAAGCAUCCGUAGGCGGACUCAUCAGUCUCAGAUUAAAUACGGCGUCUCAAGCGUCUGAAGUGUCUGGGAAACAGUGAGUCUUGGUAAUGGGAGAGGUGAACCGUACCUGCGGAGUAGGGGUGAAAUCCUAUAAUCCUGUGGGGACGACCGAUGGCGAAGGCAGUUCACUGGAACAUGUACGACGCUGAUGGAUGAAAGCCAGGGGAGCGAGCCGGAUUAGAUAC
rnacentral:rRNA from 1 species